rnacentral:lncRNA from 1 species
CUGAGCAAAAGUAUCUUUGGUGACCAGAGAAGGUAGGAAACCAUCUGUGGCCUUUCUUGAGCUCCCUUUUGCUUCCAGGUCUCCCAGGGGCAGGUNAUCAAAAUUCUGCCCUAAUCCACUGUCUACAUUCUUGUCUACGUGUUAAAAAAGCUCCAGGCCGAUUGCCUCAUCUAUGCGUCUUGCUCCCUCCCACGCCUGGUCCAGUCAUCAUUGUCUCCAUGAACAACCCCACCUGGGCUUCCUGCCAGAAAAUGUUUUUCAAGUUUCGCUUGAAUUUCUACAUGACAUACUUCUGAACAUGGGACCUGAGGUCAGGUGCCACCCCCAAUUCCAGAAGCCUUGCCAAGCCAGUGCCAAGUUCCCCAACGCUCAGGCCAAUCCGGGCCCUGUUUGCUCUGCGAUAGGAGCGCCUGUGAUGCUUCGCACUUGGCAACCUCUGACGAGGACAGAAGGCAGAUUUAAAGGCCAGAAGAUUGAUUUUUCUGUGGAGGGCUUUCCGUGUGGGGCGUGGGAGAGAAUCUCUUGGGGAAACAGUGGUCAGUGAGGCUCGCUUCGCCAUAUGCUCUUCAUUCAUGUGUGAGGCUGAACAAACUCUUUGUCCUGACAAGCCAAUCCCAGACCACAGAGGUGGAGCAAUUUAUCCUGGAGGCCCUAAGGCAACGGGACUUGGAGGUGGGGGCUGUCAUAGCUGUUCCUCCCACUCACAUUUCCAUCCAAAACUUGCAGGGG